rnacentral:rRNA from 1 species
AUUGAACGCUGGCGGCAGGCCUAACACAUGCAAGUCGAGCGGAUGAAGGGAGCUUGCUCCUGGAUUCAGCGGCGGACGGGUGAGUAAUGCCUAGGAAUCUGCCUGGUAGUGGGGAUAACGUCCGGAAACGGGCGCUAAUACCGCAUACGUCCUGAGGGAGAAAGUGGGGGAUCUUCGGACCUCACGCUAUCAGAUGAGCCUAGGUCGGAUUAGCUAGUUGGUGGGGUAAAGGCCUACCAAGGCGACGAUCCGUAACUGGUCUGAGAAGAUGAUCAGUCACACUGGAACUGAGACACGGUCCAGACUCCUACGGGAGGCAGCAGUGGGGAAUAUUGGACAAUGGGCGAAAGCCUGAUCCAGCCAUGCCGCGUGUGUGAAGAAGGUCUUCGGAUUGUAAAGCACUUUAAGUUGGGAGGAAGGGCAGUAAGUUAAUACCUUGCUGUUUUGACGUUACCAACAGAAUAAGCACCGGCUAACUUCGUG